UAAAGUCAAAUCAAUCAAUCAGUCCUUUUUCUUCCAUUGAUGAAAAUACGUCACAUAUUGAAAAGGCUCAAAUCAGUAUAAAAACUGAUCAAAGUGAUGCCUAAUCGAUAAAGUUUGGUGAAACCUGAUAAAAUUUAAGGAAAUUGUAAUUAAUUUUGUGCAUCUAUAAGCGAAAAUAAACUUUAUUACGCGUUUGAAAAUUUUCGACCGGUCGAAAAAGCAUGCCAUGAUUUCAGCAGGUGAUGUGUUUUAGUUUUCGACCCUUCAUCAAAAGUAAACAUCGUUCAUAGUGGUGGUUGAUCUUUCGUGGAGUUGAAUUUUCUGCUUCAACGGUUUUUAACCAAAACGAGCCCAGAAAAGUACAGACAAGUCUACGCAGAAGCCGACAUCUAGCAAAUAGCAUCUAAGGUAGUCAACAAGAACUCGAUUAUGGAAUUCCGAAAUUUCAUAUACAUAUUCAAUUCAGGAUUGGCGAAGAAAUAUCUAUCAGUCCGUUAUUCGUCCUGGACCGACCACAAUGGAGGAGGAGACCGAAUUUGAAGAGUUGAUAUUCGGCAGUCAGCGACGGGGAUGGUUAGUGAAACGUUGGAGCAUGUUGAAGGGUUUCUUGAUACUGCUGAAAGGCAAAACUAUUUUAAAGACAACCAUCCAGGUGAAUUGAUAGAGCAAGAUAAAUAAUAUCGCAAUAUUCUUAGAAAGGAGUUGAAGAGAGAAUCCGAAAUGAAGAAACAAGACCACGCUGAAGCAAAACGAA